rnacentral:sRNA from 2 species
AGGCGUUUGGGAUAUCGACGGCUUGGAAAAUUUACUCAGCCCUACAAGAAGUUGACAGGCCAGCACGGAGUUCAUUGAGCCGGAGAUCGAUGAGUUUUCUGUUUGCUUUUUCUUCAACUCUUCCCCUGUUGCUGUCCGUUUCGGCUGGUGGAUGAUUCCAAAUGAUAUUCUUCUGUGCCAAGAGCCAGAAUUUUGUGUCCUGAGUCGAAGACCCGUAGUGGGAGUUACCAAGGCCGAGCAGAGGAUAAUGAGGUAGGUUAGGUAGACAGACACUCUCGGAAACGCUUGUUCCAAUGGGAUCGCACUGCAUCGUCACCAGCAUCACCGGUCGGUCAUCUUUCAAAUGACGGCAGUUGGGGUAAUUUGUAAUAUAUUCGACUAGGGAUCUUUGGUUGAUAAUUGCCGGGCUUGAGCGCAGAGGGUUUUUUUUUCAUUAUUAUUUUAUUAUUAUUUUAUUAUUGUUUUAUUAUUUUUUUUUCUCAUGUUUGCUGACGAUAUUCGGUGCACCACCAAAGCCGGAUUGCCGAAUCCCCCCGUAGCGUCACCCCUGACAACAUUCCUGUAUACACGUCGCAGAGCCAUAGUUUUUGUAUUUCCUCGUUCCCCUGUUGGCCUUCGCCGAAUUUCAGACUCCCAUUCCUGUAUACUGAUG